AAACGAUGAGUGCUAAGUGUUAGGGGGUUUCCGCCCCUUAGUGCUGCAGCUAACGCAUUAAGCACUCCGCCUGGGGAGUACGGUCGCAAGACUGAAACUCAAAGGAAUUGACGGGGGCCCGCACAAGCGGUGGAGCAUGUGGUUUAAUUCGAAGCAACGCGAAGAACCUUACCAGGUCUUGACAUCCUCUGACAAUCCUAGAGAUAGGACGUCCCCUUCGGGGGCAGAGUGACAGGUGGUGCAUGGUUGUCGUCAGCUCGUGUCGUGAGAUGUUGGGUUAAGUCCCGCAACGAGCGCAACCCUUGAUCUUAGUUGCCAGCAUUCAGUUGGGCACUCUAAGGUGACUGCCGGUGACAAGCCGGAGGAAGGUGGGGAUGACGUCAAAUCAUCAUGCCCCUUAUGACCUGGGCUACACACGUGCUACAAUGGGCAGAACAAAGGGCAGCGAGACCGCGAGGUUAAGCCAAUCCCACAAAUCUGUUCUCAGUUCGGAUCGCAGUCUGCAACUCGACUGCGUGAAGCUGGAAUCGCUAGUAAUCGCGGAUCAGCAUGCCGCGGUG
rnacentral:rRNA from 3 species